rnacentral:lncRNA from 1 species
GUACAACCACAACUAGUCAUAACCCCAGCAAGCACAAAGAGACUGUCCAAGACAGGUCUCAGUAAGGUGGAUGUGAGAGAAGAGCCUUCGACCCUGGGGAAACGAAGAAAGUCAUCAGACACAGUGACAGGCACACCGGCACCAGUGCAGGAUGAAAAUAACACCAUGGCCUUUAUGCAAACUCCAAAGCAGAAACUGGAUUUCACAGGAAAUUCAACUGGACAUAAGAGAAGGUCACGAGCAUCCAAGAACAGGGCUCAGCCCCUAGAAGACCUGGAUGGUUUCCAAGAACUCUUCCAAACACCAGCUGCUGCCAGUGACCCUGUGACUGUUGAUGAAAGUGCA